AAUGCAAACUGGUCUGUCGCUAGUUCCUAACGGAAAGAGAGGAAAGUCCGGGCAACAUAGAGCAUCCUGCUUCCUAACGGGAAGGACUUAUUUUGAUCAAUGAUCAGGAUGAGGACAGAAAGUGCCACAGAGAAGAUACCGCCCUGUGUCCGUUUAACUGAUACGGGGUAAGGGUGAAAACGUGAGGUAAGAGCUCACGGCUUUGUCGGGCGACCGGCAUCGCGGUAAACCUCAGGAGUUGAAAGACCAAAUAAAUCCCGAUCCAGGAAUUGCUCGUUCCUUAAUGCCGUAAGGCCUUUGUCGGGAAGGGUAGGUUGCUAGAGCCAAUUGGCAACGAUUGGCCCAGAUAAAUGACAGAUAACCCCGAAAUGCAUUUCGGGAGAAACAGAACCCGGCUUACACGUUUGCAUUUUUU
rnacentral:RNase_P_RNA from 1 species